AUCUCGGAGGCUUCUGAGAUGCAGCCACAGUUCCGCUGCCUGGAAUGAGGCAAAAGAUGCAAAAGGCUGCCCUGGGUCAGGCCGGGCCUCCUUCCCCCUCAUGUGGCUUCUCAAGUUCCGAAGUCACCUUGUGUGGGGGAAUCACCGCACCGAGAGGGACCUGGACAUGGAAGGACCUGGACCUGGAAAGACCAUUGGUGUGAAAGAGCAGAGACCUGGUCCUAGGCCAGGUUGUACUACUACGGACUGGCUUCCAAACCAUGGGUUUAUUCAUUAACCUCUUUGGAUCCUCAGUUCCCACAUCUGUGAAAUGGGAAGGCACCUGAUAGCUGAAGCUACAAAAAAGUCAAACUUACUAAAUAGUAUAAAGACAGGAGACAGCACCCAAAGCAGCCGAGACCUAGCCCACCCUGGCUGAAAGACGGUGACUCCUGUGCCGAAGCAGAGGCUGACAUGGGUGAACAGGACUGCCUGGGGCAGAGCUGUGACCGCUGGGAAACAGGUGUCUACAGCAGUGGGACCAAUGGUGGAGGCCCUGCUCCUGGAGUUCAGGAUUCUGGAGCUCCUGAUCCUCUGCAGGGGAUCCGAGGAGGUUCUGUGCUGUUUCCUUUGCCCAAGAAGCAAGACGCUGAGCUGGAGGAGGUCACGUGGGGCUUUGGUCCUGGGUCAGAGUACAGAGUCCUGCUGCGAGUCCGUCCUGGGAAAGCUCCCACCUGGGUCAGCCUCCAGGACAGGUACCAGCAGAGGGUCCAUGUGCCCAACAUGACGUCCCUGAAGAUUGAGAACCUGACCCCUGAGGACAGUGGGCUGUACCGGGCUCGAGUUAGCUUUACUGGAGGAGUAGAACUUACCAAGGUUUUCCACCUCACUGUCUAUGAGCCAGUGACCAUUCCCCAGAUCCUGGUCCACUCAUCAUCCAUCACACCAGGCUGGUGCAAUGUUACCAUGGAGUGCAGGACCUCAGGGGACACAGAGGACCUGAAGGUGACCUGGGAGGGCAAGGGCCUCCCCAGGGAGCUGGAGGAGAGAGUGACAUCAGGACCAACCCCCAAUUCGUGGACCCUGGCUGUGCACCUGCCCCAGAGCCAGCCCUACACCAACAUCACCUGUGUGGUCAGCAACGAAGUGGACCAGAAAACUGCCACCUUCAACCUUGGGGAAGUCUGUGUCCAUGGUUCACAUGGACAAGCCAAUGCUGUUGCCCUGCCAGGCAUCUUAGGGGCAGGGGCUACUGUGGCUACACUAUUACUGAUCCUUGGAAUUGGACUCUGCCUUUGGAAGAAGAAGAAGAAGAAGAAGAUGGAGACUGCAAGAGGAUUGCAGGAGGAGUCUAAGGACCGUGACGGUGGCAUCCAAUAUGUAGAGCUGAGCCAGCAGGAUUCUCGAGAGAGCACGGACCAGGGUGAUGGUGAACGACGUCUAAAUGAAAAGGAGUCUCUUAAUACUGUCUACAGUGAGGUCCAUAAGCCAGCAAGUGUGCCCAUGAAGAUAAUUUAAUUGGAGGAGGCAGAAGAAUUGACACUCCUAGGACACCUCCAUUCUGAAUUUGAUCCCUGCAGAUACCUGCCCCUACGAGUGCUGGUCCAGCACCAGCUGCCUCUGGUCUGCAUUCCUCUGACCUUUGUGCCCUCAACUCCCUGGGCUCACGUGGCCCUGUCACUUCCUCUGUCAACUCUAUAUGCUGCCUUCCACUCAGGUUCCUCACUCCAGAAGGACUAGUGCUCUUUCUCCGUCAUUGACUCUGCUCCUGAUUCCUCUCCUUCUGAAGUUUCCCUAGGAGGAUCUCCCUACCUGUGCAUGUGUUCAUCCCCACAGCCUCUGCGCUGUGGCUGGUGUGUAUCUUUCUGAGAACAGGAGCCUGGGCGUGGGGACUGUGUGGAGGUUUCGACUACACCAUAGAGGGAGUUAGGAACUUGGAGCUGGGUGUUGAGCUGAGUGUCCAUGGAGGUGGCCUGGAUGGAUGGGUAGGAGCCUACAAAAGACGGGCCUGAGGCGUCCUUUGUAUGGCAAAAGGUGUUGGAGGGACUGUCUAGUAUACAUCAUACAUGGGGGCCAGAGCCCUUGAUCCUGAUCACCCAUACUAACCUCAGCUUCAGCUCAUGGGCCUUAAAUCCAUCUCUCGUGGAAUGUGAAGAGGAAUUUGUAUUGUCUCUGGUCCUUCCAAGCCAACUCCUUUUCAGAGAAAGACCCCAGGAACCCAAUGUUGGGACUCUGUGUUCUUCCCUGUCUGGGCCAGGGGUUCUUGUCAUUAGAAUGGUCAUGCAGGGAGUUCCUGUUUUGCAGCAGUGGAAACAAGUGCUACUGGUAUCCAUGAGGAUGCAGGAUCCAGUAUUGCUGUGAGCUGUGGUGUAGGUCGCAGAUGCGGCUUGGAUCCCACAUUGCUGUGGCUAUGGUGUAGGCUGGCAGCUAUAGCUCUGAUUUGACCCUUAGCCUGGGAAUUUCCACCUCCAUGUGCUGUGGGUGUGGCCCUAAAAA
rnacentral:lncRNA from 1 species